AACGCGAAGAACCUUACCUGGGCUCGAAGCGCAGUGGAAUCCGGUAGAAAUAUCGGCGCCCGCAAGGGCUGCUGCGUAGGUGCUGCAUGGCUGUCGUCAGCUCGUGUCGUGAGAUGUUGGGUUAAGUCCCGCAACGAGCGCAACCCUUAUUGCCAGUUGCUUCCAGGUUAUGCUGAGCACUCUGGCGAAACUGCCUCGGAUAACGAGGAGGAAGGUGGGGAUGACGUCAAAUCAUCAUGCCCUUUAUGUCCUGGGCUACACACGUGCUACAAUGGCUGAAACAAUGAGAAGCGAGACCGUAAGGUGGAGCAAAUCUUAAAAUACAGUCCCAGUUCGGAUUGAGGGCUGAAACCCGCCCUCAUGAAGCUGGAGUUGCUAGUAAUCGCGAAUCAGCAUGUCGCGGUGAAUACGUUCCCGGGUCUUGUACACACGC
rnacentral:rRNA from 1 species